rnacentral:rRNA from 1 species
GACGAACGCUGGCGGCGUGCUUAACACAUGCAAGUCGAACGGAAAGGCCCUGCUUGCAGGGUACUCGAGUGGCGAACGGGUGAGUAACACGUGGGUGAUCUGCCCUGCACUUCGGGAUAAGCCUGGGAAACUGGGUCUAAUACCGGAUAGGAGCCAUUUUUAGUGUGAUGGUUGGAAAGUUUUUUCGGUGUAGGAUGAGCUCGCGGCCUAUCAGCUUGUUGGUGGGGUAAUGGCCUACCAAGGCGGCGACGGGUAGCCGGCCUGAGAGGGUGGACGGCCACACUGGGACUGAGGGACGGCCCAGACGCCUACGGGAGGCAGCAGGGGGGAAUAUUGCACAAUGGGCGCAAGCCUGAUGCAGCGACGCCGCGUGGGGGAUGACGGCCUUCGGGUUGUAAACUCCUUUCGCUAGGGACGAAGCUUUUUGUGACGGUACCUAGAGAAGAAGCACCGGCUAACUACGUG